UACGGAGGGUGCAAGCGUUAUCCGGAUUCACUGGGUUUAAAGGGUGCGUAGGUGGGCAAGUAAGUCAGUGGUGAAAUCUCCGGGCUUAACCCGGAAACUGCCAUUGAUACUAUUUGUCUUGAAUACUGUGGAGGUCAGCGGAAUAUGUCAUGUAGCGGUGAAAUGCUUAGAUAUGACAUAGAACACCGAUUGCGAAGGCAGCUAACUAAGUCAUAACUGACGCUGAUGCACGAAAGCGUGGGGAGCAAACAGG
rnacentral:rRNA from 1 species